CCAGUGUCUAAAACACCAGUGUGGCAGAGACCUUGAGUACCCAAAACAGCAACUGGGAUCUAUUUCUAGCUCUGUCACAGACAGCCUGGGUGACCUUGGACACGUCAAUGUUUCUCCUCCCAACUUUAGUCUAUUUACCCAGCUGCCCACUCACUGGGGUCUCCU